UGGGGAAUAUUGCGCAAUGGGGGCAACCCUGACGCAGCGACGCCGCGUGCGGGAUGAAGGCCUUCGGGUUGUAAACCGCUUUCAGCAGGGACGAGGCCUUAUGGUGACGGUACCUGCAGAAGAAGCUCCGGCUAAAUACGUGCCAGCAGCCGCGGUAAUACGUAUGGAGCAAGCGUUAUCCGGAUUCAUUGGGCGUAAAGCGCUCGUAGGCGGUCUGUUAGGUCGGCAAGUUAAAUCCGGGGGCUCAACCCCCGUCCGCUUCCGAUACCGGCAGACUUGAGUUUGGUAGGGGAAGGUGGAAUUCCUAGUGUAGCGGUGGAAUGCGCAGAUAUUAGGAAGAACACCGGUGGCGAAGGCGGCCUUCUGGGCCAUAACUGACGCUGAGGAGCGAAAGCUAGGGGAGCGAACAGG
rnacentral:rRNA from 1 species